rnacentral:rRNA from 1 species
CACGUAGGGUGCGAGCGUUGUCCGGAAUCACUGGGCGUAAAGCGCACGUAGGCGGAUCUUUAAGUCAGGGGUGAAAUCCCAAGGCUCAACCUUGGAACUGCCUUUGAUACUGGGGAUCUCGAGUCCGGAAGAGGUGAGUGGAACUGCGAGUGUAGAGGUGAAAUUCGUAGAUAUUCGCAAGAACCCCAGUGGCGAAGGCGGCUCACUGGUCCGGUACUGACGCUGAGGUGCGAAAGCGUGGGGAGCAAACAGG